GAGUUUCGAUCCUGGACUCAGAACACGCUGGCGGCAGGCUUAACACAUGCAAGUCGAGCGGACCCUCGGGGUCAGCGGCAGACGGGUGAGUAACACGUGGGAAUCUACCCAUCUCUAGGGAAUAACUCAGGGGAAACUUGUGCUAAUACCCUAUACGUCCUCCGGGAGAAAGAUUUAUCGGAGAUGGAUGAGCCCGCGUUGGAUUAGCUAGUUGGUGAGGUAAUGGCUCACCAAGGCGACGAUCCAUAGCUGGUCUGAGAGGAUGAUCAGCCACACUGGGACUGAGACACGGCCCAGACUCCUACGGGAGGCAGCAGUGGGGAAUAUUGGACAAUGGGCGCAAGCCUGAUCCAGCCAUGCCGCGUGUGUGAUGAAGGCCUUAGGGUUGUAAAGCACUUUUCACCGAUGAAGAUAAUGACGGUAGUCGGAGAAGAAGCCCCGGCUAACUUCGUG
rnacentral:rRNA from 1 species